CAGUCGCCGCGGUAAUACGAAGGGGGCUAGCGUUGUUCGGAAUCACUUGGCGUAAAGCGCACGUAGGCGGACUUUUAAGUCAGGGGUGAAAUCCCAAGGCUCAACCUUGGAACUGCCUUUGAUACUGGAAGUCUUGAGUUCGGGAGAGGUGAGUGGAACUGCGAGUGUAGAGGUGAAAUUCGUAGAUAUUCGGAAGAACACCAGUGGCGAAGGCGGCUCACUGGCUCAUUCUAGACGCUGAGGUGCGAAAGCGUGGGGAGCAAACAGGAUUAGAUACCCGAGUAGUCCCUGUCUCUUAUAC
rnacentral:rRNA from 1 species